AAAUAGAACUUUGCAGAGAGAGUUAACAGGGCGUGAAACCGUUAAUUGAGAAACGAAUCGGAGCCACGAAGUCGUUUCGCUGUUUAGUUGGAUCGGGUUCAGUUUGUGAGCUAAAACUCAUAGGCGUAUUCUCGUGUCCGACCAAACCUUGUAAGCGUACACUGCAACCAGUUAGACGAUUGGCCAUGGGCCCAGUUGUCUGGAUUAGUAGUAGCGCUGUGUACCUCGGUGCAUUUGUGUUGCUGGAUUCAUGGCAAGUGAACUAUGGCCAAAUACUGACUGGCGAAAUGAAAAUCGCGUUUUACGCGUUUUAAAGAAUGCAGCUAAUUGUAUUGGUGUCUACACAUUAGACUAGUGGGUCUAAGCUCAGCACUUUUGAAUUUAGACUUGCUUGCUACCAAUGGGGCAACUCUUGGUGCUUGUAUAGCUUCUAUCUAAUCGGGUGUUGACUUGGCACGCUGCGUUCUAAUGUGCUACGAUCGGGCGCUAAUAUAAGUUGGUUCGCAAUUGAUUGGCGGUGAGUAGGUCGGCUUUCCGAACGACCCGUCUUGAAACACGGACCAAGGAGUCUAAUUAGGUAUCGAGUCGAUCGGUCUUGAAUAGGCCAGACUAGUGCGAGCGUGCUGAAUGAAGGCGUAGAGAAAUCGUGUGAUCAGGGAGCAACAACAGCUCUUAUGCGCAACAUGUGCCUGUUCGUAUAGCAAUGUAGCAAUAAUUGCUGGCGGAGCAAAGAGAUACCUGAUUGGGACCCGAAAGAUGGUGAGCUUGGGCAAAUUGAAGCCAGAGGAAACUCUGGUGGAGGAUUGUAGCGAUUCUGACGUGCAAAUCGAUCGUCAGACCUGAGUAUAGGGGCGAAAGACUAAUCGAACCAUC
rnacentral:rRNA from 1 species